CUGUCAUUUGAGACUUUUUUUACAGUGUGGAAAUCUACAUGAUGUCUCCUGCAUGACAUUCAGGAAACAGACGCCACCUACAGGUGGCGCCAGUUUGCCUCCUGAGCUUCAGCACUUCCUGCCUGACCUGACGUUGUAGCUGUUGGUCUGCCGCUUUCUCCUCACACUGAGUCUGCUUCACGUCCUCCUCCAGCCACUGCACACGCUUCCUGGACACGAGGGCGCCAUCAUGAAAGCACAACGACUAAAGUGACCCGGGUGAAUAAAACUCCUGACAAGUUUCGAAAGACUAAAAGGAGCCCUGAUUCAGCGCGUUUAACGAGUUUCUCUCUGCAAGUUGGAUCAUUCUCUUCCAGGCAGCUCAAACAAUGAUGUCAGAAGAAGAAGCGGCCGGAAAUGCACGCAAUGACGCUACAAACUGCAUCCCACUAGUGUUUCCUCUGUGACAGGAAAGACUGAUCGUGUUUACACGUGAACAUGAAACCCACCUGAUAACAAAGGCGGUGAAUUCUUGUGAAUUCAUUAUAAAAUAAUAGUUUUAGGUCUAGUUUCUGUCAGGCGCCAUCAUCGUUGUCACCAUAACACCGCCCUCGUUUAGGCGUGCCACACUUGCUGUAAAAAAAUCUGUUUUAUUUAUAAAGCUCCAAAUCCCAACAACAGUGUGCUGGUUCAGGAGCUCUUGGGUGAUGAACUCGGUCUUAAAGGACAAUGACAUUUAACAACUCCGGCUGUGACGGACGAAAUAACUGCUGGUGAUGCGAAGUGGGCGGGGCCAGAGUUAUACGCAUACACAGAUCCUCUCGCCUCCGUAGCUGCGACUGCCUUUGUGUUGCAGGGGCAGUUUGAGUAACAUCCUCAGUUACAUCACGUUCACGCUUCUCUCACUGCCCUCAGCUUCAAGCCAAGACUUCAAAAACAGUUAAAGCGAGCUUAAAAUAGCUGAGCUGGUGUUACUACAGGAAGCUGUAUAUGUAUAUUCAUGGUCAGGGCUCCUUUUAAAACUUCUGUUGGGUGAUGUAAAACUGGCUCUCCCUCCUGUGUGUCUUUACCUGAGGUAGGAUAUUUGCUCUCUGAGCUCUCGGUAACCUUCGCUGUCUGAACCCACUCUUCUGCAAACCUCUGACUCCGCCCUCUCCGAAGCUUCCUUUUGCUCCAGCCUCUCUGACACUUCUGGCUCCGCCCUCUCUGAAGCUUCUGACUCCGCCCUCUCUGAAGCUUCUGACUCCGCCCACUCUGACACUUGUAACUCCGCCCUCUCUAUAGAUACCUCGGAGGCGCUUUCUUUGUGUGGGCUCAUCAGGCUCAUGAGCAUGUCCUCCAAGGCGUCCAGCUUCAGACGGACAAAUUUAACCAUCAGAGCCGACAGACAGGAAGUGACAAGGCAGCGUUUGUGCUGAUGUUUGAGGAGGAGAGGGUUGUUCCAGUUGGUUCUUACUCACCUUUCCUCGGUCGCUCAUCAGGUGGUCUAGCAAACCUCUCUGCUCAUUUAGCUGAUCCAUCAGGUUACUGAACGCGUCUCCAUGGGAACCUAAAUGUUCAACAUAACAUCAGCAUCGCAGUCUGGGAGCAGAAAUCAGAUGCUCUAAAAGUGCUGAAAUUCUCAUUCAUUCCAUGAAGUUUGAGCUGUAAUAUGUACAAAUAAUAGUUACAGGAUAAAUUACAGUAAUUACUGUAAAUACCUAUAAAAGUUUAGUCGAACUUUUACCACUGGGGGGCAGUGUUUUACCAGGAGGGGUGUUACAUUUUUGGGAUGUGUGUGUUCUUUAUACCCGCUCCCUCAAGAAGUGCUCUCGCUGACUUACCAGGUUAAAGAAAGACUGCACCACCUUGUGGUACAAUUAGGCAUUACACAGAAGUGUGGCCACAACAACAGAUGUUUCGGGCACAAACUCAUAGCAGCUGUUUCUUCACAUUCUGCUGAUAGAUUUUUGGGAGGCUAAGACAUUUUUAAACAAAAUAAUUUGUAAAAACCUUUAAGAAAGAUAAAAUAAAAUCAAAGGUUGGUGCAGCUCUAAUAUAUUCUUCAUGCUAUGACUUCAGAUCUCACACUGUGAUCUGAACACUUUAAAUGAGAGCUGUGUUCAUGAGAGACUUUCUAACAGCUUGUAUGGCGUCACCUUUGGUGGCGAUGAGCUCUCUGAGCUGAGCCAGCUGACUCUGGUCUGCCUUUCCUUUCUCUAACACCGCUACGUGAGCUUCCACCUGGACGAGCCUCUCCUGCAGCUGGCUCACACUCCUCAGGGCCUCCACUGCCUCUGUGGAUGGUGUGGAGCUGUUGGAAUCUGAAGCUGGAGGUUUACUAGCAGAGUCUGCUUUAACACCAGCCUGUGGAGGCGGCCCUGACUGGACCGAAGAGCACUCGGAUUUAUUUGGAGAACUUGGAGCUGCUGGUCCAACGGUGACCUUGUCGGGGUGGGAGGAGGGAGGUGUGCUGCUUUGAGGAGGUUCGGUGAGGUCACUGCCGGAAGGCGAGGAGGUUUGUUUGGCUGCCACGAGCUGAUUAUCGAUCCCUGAAUCUCCAGGCUCCUGUGAGGAAGUCAGAGACAAACACUCUGAAACUGCAGACAAAUAUCAACACUGUACUCCAAUCCAUACCGCUGGUCAGGAACACAGCAGGGAAGGGCAGCCAAUCAGAAUCAAGCUGAUUUAGUGGGAGUGGAGCUAAAAGAGCUUGUUUCGGGGAAAACUCUGGAGCUGCACCAAAGCUCGGGUGAGAUUAAGAAGGAUUAUUAUGAACCUCUUAAUCACACAAAGCAGAGGCCAAGCAUAAAAACAUGGAGCUGGGAGUGAGCCGCAGAGGUUCUUCAAUAAUAAACAGACGGGUGAAGAUCAAAUUAACCCCAAAACAGAGACGUGUGAUAUGGAUGGUUCGAAUAAAAACAGCAGAGCUGGGAUUUUUAUUUUUUUCUCUUUGAUGCCAAAGAGAUCAGAUUCCCAUGAACAUCUGCCCCAACUUUAUCUAAAUUUGAUUAAAGAACCUUCUUUAAAAGCAAAAUUUCAUGUCACAUCCGCCUGUUUGGCUUGUUGCCUCUUGUUUCUUGGUAAAUAUUCUCCUGCUGAGGCCUCAGCUCGGCUCUGCACACAAACAUGGCUGCUUUCCUCCAAUUGCUCGACACUAAAAUAACUUUAGGACUCUAAACAUCUGGCUGUAAGCUCGUCUGUUUCUGAUCAAACACAAGUUUCUGUUUCUUUCUCACCUUCUGGAAUUUUUCUGUCUCGCCCUCUCUGUCGCCGGGCAGAACUGCGUCCCUCAGAGACUUCUGUAACAACAGUGAAAUCACGAGACAAACCCUCACCACAGUGUCCUCCAGAGCGUCCACACGGUGGCAGCAGCUCUCUACCCGAGCGGCCGUCCCCAAAGCGUCACCGACCAUCUGAACACAGGACAGAGGGAGAGAUCAGAACAUCCCACGAAUCCACAUCCAGCAUCAGCUGAGCUCCAUCGCCGAGGCCUGAGGGCGAGAAGACGCUGAAAAUACGGCGUGGCUCAGAAUCAGCGUGUUUCCCUGCAGAGCCACUAAAAGUCAAACAUACAUGAAAUAUUUGCUAUGAUGAUGAGCUCUUUUCUUCAGCUGAACAUUGACUGAGACUUUUGGACAGCAGAGAAACUUUCUGUGGUUCAGAUUCAUAAAUCUAUCCAGUCAGACCAGAACUUUUUUUCUGACAGUUUCUAUUUAUCGUUUUAUUUCUAGUUGCAGGUUUCUAUUCUACUUUUUGUUUAUGGAGCUUUAUUAUUCUGCGUAUUUCAUUUUUUCUGUUGAACUGGGCUCCUUUAUUGUGUGUUCUGUUUUACCACAUUAAAUUGUUUCAUUUUGUUUAUUUGAGUGAUGCUGUUAUAAGAUGUGUCUAAUAUUACUUCUGUAGUAAAUAAAGUAUAUCUAAAUAAGUAUAAAGUAGA